CCUUCUCUCCCGCCGGAGAAGGGGGGUGGGGUUUUGCUACCUCUCCUCUAGCUGGGUUGUCCCUUCUCUUGGGUAAAGGAGGGGUGUGCUCGACUCUGGCGCUCCCUGUCCCACACGCCCCUCACUCAUCUCGUGUUGCUUUGCGACCAUGAUUGCAGAGGCCGUGAUUUUGACUUUUUAAACAUGAAAAAAGUUAUUUUUGCCAGGCCCCCCUGCCUAGAUAGAGGGCGUUUCCACUUUAUGUGGAAGCUGGAGAAUCCGAAGAAGGCCCUGGGUCUCAGGAUUCAGCAAUUCUCCUUUCCGCUUUGCCAUAAUAGUUGCUAGCCCAAGGUCACGCUGUGAUUCCUUUUCGAUUUUAACCGUGAUUCGCUUUUAAAAUGAAGAUAAUUUUUGACAGCCCUCCGAUAACUUGUCUGAGGAUUUUAUUGUAAAAAGUGUAGAUUGGGUGAACUUCAGAACCUUUGAAGAUUGUUGCAGAGAUAAUGGCAUUUUUUACAACCUGGUGGCUUGUCCAGGAUUCAAAGCAUCAGAUCAGAGACCAACCACCUGAAAGCAAAAUGGGUGCCCCUGCUGAUUUUCAGCGACUUCGUAGUCUGGUUGUGAUCCUUCUUCCCCUUAACCUUGAAUCCUGAGAAUUUGGCUUUCUGAAAAGGGUGACUAAACUAGUGAAAAAGGAAGGGGCAGCCAACCUAUGGAAGUCUGUGCACAGAGCAAGGGAAAAAGGUUUGCCUUAAGCAAACUACUCAUCUUCAAUUUACUGUCCACCAUUAUCAGGCUAUGAUGAAGUCCUAAUUUAAGUCCUGGAAAGACUCUAAAACUACAACCAGAAUAUAAAGGAAUAUUCCAAGUACUACUGAUAACCGAAACAGCUGUCCAAACUGCUGAAAAGGAAUGGACUCAUUAAACCAGAGUGAAAGGACUAAUAAAACCAACAGGAGAAUGGACAGAUGUAUCCUGAACAUUUGUGGGGGAAAGUUAUCAAAGGCUAUUAGCCCUUAAAUCUGGAUCUAUCUUCAUACUGUUUCUUGGAAUGUUUCUGAUUUCUUUCCCUAAAAUGCCAGAACAUCUGAGCUUUUACUUUUAUAUGAAGAACAUGAAAACAAGAAAUUAUGCUGGACCAUCAAAGUCAACAGAACCAGAUUUUGAAUAUGUUCAGUCAUUGAAGAAAACCAUCAUCUUUUUUAAAGAAAGAAAUAAUCUUAUUCUUCCAAAUAGUUGAAAUGUAAAGAACACAUUUAUGUUUUCAGAAAAGUACAAAGGCUUGAAAUGCAAGAAAGUAAAUUCAAAUGUAAGGCCUGUUUAAAAUUCAGCAUUUAGGAAUGACAACAGAAAAGUCAUGUCAAGUAUUUAAAGAAUGAAUUGUAUAUUUAGUGAUUUCAAAAGUCAUACAACUACCAACCUCUGUGGGAGAGAAGUUAGCCCCCUUACUAAAAAAGAGUUUUCAGUACUAUUUACAAUGUAUUAAAAGGUUAUAGAACUUUAAUAUUGAGAGAGCAAUAGAAUUUCAAGAAAAAGUAUUAGAUAUGCAGGGUAUUGUUUACCUACAUAAUAUAAUACCUCAAGAGUAAACACAGAUGCCACAGUGGAUAGUGCAAUCAGGAAUAUGCAAUCAAAUCCUACCUCCUAUACUUAAACUAGCUGUGUGACCCCAGGCAAGUCAUUUAGUUUUGUCUCAUGUAAAAUAGGAUAACAAUGACAUCUAAAGAAUUUAUUUGCAGCCCAAUUCAGUCACCUACUAAAUGGGUAAUAUUUAUUGCUGUAAAGAAUUUGUAUUUUCAAUACAUAUUUUAUUUUCUUGUCUACUAAAUGAUUGUGGCUUAAUAAUACAUAUUUGAAAAUAAACUUCAUUGCAAUUUUGUCCUGUAAUGCUGAAAAAUAAAUUCGUUCAAAAUUUUCCUAUAAAAUAAAGUUCAUUUAAAAAUAUU